rnacentral:rRNA from 1 species
GGGGGAAUACAUGCAGUCGAGCGAACAGACGAGGAGCUUGCUCCUCUGACGUUAGCGGCGGACGGGUGAGUAACACGUGGGUAACCUACCUAUAAGACUGGGAUAACUCCGGGAAACCGGGGCUAAUACCGGAUAACACAUAAAACCGCAUGGUUUUAUGAUGAAAGACGGUUUUGCUGUCACUUAUAGAUGGACCCGCGGCGUAUUAGCUAGUUGGUAAGGUAACGGCUUACCAAGGCAACGAUACGUAGCCGACCUGAGAGGGUGAUCGGCCACACUGGAACUGAGACACGGUCCAGACUCCUACGGGAGGCAGCAGUAGGGAAUCUUCCGCAAUGGGCGAAAGCCUGACGGAGCAACGCCGCGUGAGUGAUGAAGGUCUUCGGAUCGUAAAACUCUGUUAUUAGGGAAGAACAAGGAUGUAAGUAACUGUGCAUCCCUUGACGGUACCUAAUCAGAAAGCCACGGCUAACUACGUGCCAGCAGCCGCGGUAAUACGUAGGUGGCAAGCGUUAUCCGGAAUUAUUGUGCGUAAAGCGCGCGUAGGCGGUUUUUUAAGUCUGAUGUGAAAGCCCACGGCUCAACCGUGCAGGGUCAUUGCAAACUGGAAAACUUGAGUGCAGAAGAGGAAAGUGGAAUUCCAUGUGUAGCGGUGAAAUGCGCAGAGAUAUGGAGGAACACCAGUGCCGAAGGCGACUUUCUGGUCUGCAACUGACGCUGAUGUGCGAAAGCGUGGGGAUCAACAGGAUUAGAUACCCUGGUAGUCCACGCCGUACACGAUGAGUGCUAGUGCUACGGGGUUCCGCCCCUUAGUGCUGCAGCUAGCGCAUUCAAGCUACUCCUCUCUGGGGAGUACGGUCUGCAAGUCUGCAAACUCAAAGGCAUUGACGAGGACCCGCACAAGCGGUGGAGCAUGUGGUUUAAUUCGAAGCAACGCGAAGAACCUUACCAAAUCUUGACAUCCUUUGACAACUCUAGAGAUAGAGCUUUCCCCUUCGGGGGACAAAGUGACAGGUGGUGCAUGGUUGUCGUCAGCUCGUGUCGUGAGAUGUUGGGUUAAGUCCCGCAACGAGCGCAACCCUUAAGCCU